rnacentral:sRNA from 1 species
UUUUAGCCCUGAUGGAAGCUGCAUCCUCGUAGCUUAGCGAAGAGAUACAGCGGACAGCAGGAGGUUUC